CACACAUCUACUUACAUCCACCUCUAUCCCUACAUCAGCCCGUCCUCCUGGUUCCUCUCCUCCUGGUUCCUCUCCUCCUGGUUCCUCUCCUCCUGGUUCUUCUCUCCUUCAUGUGUUAAUCUCUGUUGGAUUGUUCUGUGUUGUGGUUCUACUGGUGUUUCUGGUUCUGCUGGUCAGACAGCGUUCUCACAGGAAACCUGGAGAUCAGAGCAAAGCUGCAGGAGAUGAUGUCACAUACAGUGAUGUCAAAGUAUCAGCUCGUCAGCAGCAGCCAGACAAAUGGAGCAGAGAGACUGAUACAGCUGUGGUCUACUCAGCAGUGACAGGUGGAGACGUCAGCUAUGGAGAACCAACCAUCAGAACAAGGAGGCCCAGACUUUAAACCAGAGCCAGACGUCGUCUACUCUUCACUGAAGUAUCCACCAGUCCAACCACUGACGUCCAGCUGCUGCUCUCUGACUGCUCCCCAGCACCUCACAGACCAUCCAUGUGUUACUUCUUUUCCUCCUUUAAUGAGACUGAUACAAGUAAAAAAUUACAUCCUAUAUGUUGCUGGAAUUUUAACAGUGUGUGAAAAUCUAUCUUUCUAUUGAACAGAAUCUAAUGAAAGCUUCCAGCUGCUUUUUGUCCUCAGUGAUCUUCAUAGUUUGGAUUUGUUCCC